rnacentral:rRNA from 1 species
CCCUUAGAUGUUCUGGGCUGCACACGUGCUACACUGGCAGGUUCAGCGAGCUUCAUGCCCUGAUCUGAAAGGAAUGGGAAAUCUUUUCAAAACCUGCCGUGCUUGGGAUAGAUGUUUGCAAUUAUUCAUCUUCAACGAGGAUUGCCUUGUAAGCGCACGUCAUCAGCGUGCAUUGAAUACGACCCUGUAUUCUGUCCACACCGCCCGUCGCUCCUACCGAUUGAAGUUUUCGGUGAGUUGACAGGAGGAUUUUUUUGAAACUGGUUCGCCAGUGGAUUUUAGAUCCAAAUGCCAACGAAUCGAUGGCUUUAGAGGAAGGAGAAGUCGUAACA